UGCUGAUCUGGCGCCGCC
rnacentral:misc_RNA from 1 species